CCUUCAUGAUGAUAACCGCACAUGUCUUACGCCUUGGGCCAAUGUCAGACCUGAAAAGGUGAACCCACUGGCAUUGCCUUGGCAACGAGGGGAAGACCUGUUGGGGUUUCCAACAGUCUGAAUGGA